GACGAACGCUGGCGGCGUGCCUAAUACAUGCAAGUCGAGCGGACGUUUUUGAAGCUUGCUUCAAAAACGUUAGCGGCGGACGGGUGAGUAACACGUGGGCAACCUACCUUAUCGACUGGGAUAACUCCGGGAAACCGGGGCUAAUACCGGAUAAUAUCUAGCACCUCCUGGUGCCGGAUUAAAAGAGGGCUUCUUGCUCUCACGAUGAGCUGGGCCCGGGGCGCAUUAGCUAGUUGGAGAGGUAACGGCUCCCCAAGGCAACGAUGCGUAGCCGACCUGAGAGGGUGAUCGGCCACACUGGGACUGAGACACGGCCCAGACUCCUACGGGAGGCAGCAGUAGGGAAUCUUCCGCAAUGGACGAAAGUCUGACGGAGCAACGCCGCGUGAGUGAUGAAGGGUUUCGGCUCGUAAAGCUCUGUUAUGAGGGAAGAACACGUACCGUUCGAAUAGGGCGGUACUUUGACGGUACCUCAUCAGAAAGCCACGGCUAACUACGUGCCAGCCGCCGCCGUAA
rnacentral:rRNA from 1 species